GGCUGUUCUUGGGUGAUGCACCCUGGAAUUGGGCUCCCUCCUGUCUGGUUUCAGGUGUGUCACCUGAGAACCACA
rfam:Myotis lucifugus cont2.9453, whole genome shotgun sequence.